GGAAGAUGCUGCUGAAUGGACGGCAACCAAGCUUGAACCUUGGAGUACGGGCAACUGUAGGGGUUCGAUUCCUCCAUCUUCCUC
rnacentral:tRNA from 1 species